GACUUCAAAGUUAUAUACUGGACACAAUUCCAACAAGUAACACAAAUCAUCUUUGUAGACUACACCUCCAAUGAAAAUCGAUUAUUCAAUAUCUUAAAUACUUCAAUUGACCUCCUAAACUGUAUUUGCUAAACAAAUAUCGACCUAUUCGUCCUCAUAAUAGAAUUUCCUUUAACAUACGAGCAAUAUGUCGCGUAAUAAACUAAAAAACACAAGUUACAGAACAGAGGUGGCGGAAACGCAAUUUCCAAAUAUCGAUUUCUUCUGACGACUGCACAACUACAUAACCCAUUUAUCUACCACCACAAACAACACCCUAAUACCAACUUAAACACUCAUGUUAUACAGUCCCUUUUACAUUGACACACUGUGUCACUUACAACCAUUUGCAUUGUUCACCACUCCAAGUUUAUUCCCUUAUACUUCAAAGGAAAGAGAGCUUUGUUGUGAAUGUGUUAAAGUAUAAUUUUGGCUGUGUUGCGGUGUGAUUUAAGUCGUUAUUUUAUCGAGUUAGGGUCCGGAUUCCCCUUCAGUUGGCAUUGUAAACAAAACGCCUAUUAUAAUGGACAUCGUAGUGUUGUGCUGUUAUCGAUAAACUGAGAUGGGGCGAUAGUGCUGCGACUGAUAUGUGACGUCAGUUUUACCGUAAUGACGUGAGAGUUUUUAAGGCCUACACAAAUGUUCUUUUGGUUAAUAUUAAAUGAUAAAUGAUAUUUAUUUUGCAAAUACACGAUACAAUGUAACUCUUUUACACGUCAAUCUCUUAAAUAACUAGAUGAGGCAUUUCCUAUCGGACUACUCUGAGAAGAAAUGUCUAAACAAACUCAGAGGUCAUAGUCUCUUUUAAAGUCCAGACAAAAUCAAUUAAAGUUGUCGAAGAUUGUUCGUCGGAUCAUCCGGCAACAGCCGUCAGCUGAGCUGAUUGUAAACUGACACAUGCGUGCUGCCAUCUGAAUAGGUCCGCUCAUACUGUUGUGGUUCUUUCCUCUAAAGACCACUACAGAAUCAACUUGCACGGUUCUCUCACAUUAUCCUCUAUUUCAUUGUCUGGACUAUAAAAGAGACUAUGACCUCUGAGUUUGUUUCGGCAUUUCUUCUCAGAGUAGUCGGAUAGGAAAUGCCGGCCUCAUCUAGCUAUUUGAAAUAUUGACGUGUAAAAGUGUUAUUUUAUAAUCUAUUUACAGAAAUAAAUA